GAUGAACGCUGGCGGCGUGCUUAACACAUGCAAGUCGAACGAUGAAGCCCAGCUUGCUGGGCGGAUUAGUGGCGAACGGGCGAGUAACACGCGAGUAACUUGCCCUUAACUCUGGGAUAAGCCUGGUAAACUGGGCCUAAUACAGGACAGAAGCGUCCACCGCACGGAGGGUGUUGGAGAGAUUUAUCGGUUUUGGCUAGACUCGCGGCCUAUCAGCUUGGUGGUGAGGUAUUGGCACACCAAGGCGUUGACGGGUAGACGACCUGAGAGGGUGACCGGCCACCCUGGGCCUGCGACACGGCCCAGACUCCUACGGGAGGCAGCAGUGGGAAGUAUUGCACAAUGAGCGCAAGCCUGAUGCAGAGACGCCGCGUGAGGGAUACCCGCCUUCGGGUUGUAAACCUCUUUCUAUGGAGAAGAAGCGAAAGUGACGGUACCUGCAGAAGAAGCACCGGCUAACUACGUG
rnacentral:rRNA from 1 species